rnacentral:tRNA from 1 species
UCUCUGGCAGUCCAGUGGUUAAGACCCCUCACUUCCAAUGUAGGGGGUGCAGGUUUGAUCCCUGGCCAGAGAA